rnacentral:lncRNA from 1 species
CCGAGAUGGUGAACAAAGAAUAAAACUGAGUUCUCUUACUUAAUUAAACAAAAUGAACAUAACAAAAAUGAGAGUAUUAAUCUUUCAACAAUUUGGCACUAUUGUCAAGACGAUUUGUUGAGAGGAGAAAACUCCCAAUAAAACACCGAGAAACACGCUUUCAACAACCAUCACAAGAAGAGCAUAUUCAUUCUGAUUUACCUAAAGAAUGUAUGAUGUAAAAUAAUGAAAGAGGCGAAGAGAUAUGGUGAACCAAAUGGAACGGUCAAUGAGUCUAACACCAAAUAGAAUCAUGCACUGCAAAAACAAACAUAAUAUAUUAGCACAAGAAACAAAGCAAUAACAACAUCCUUAUUAAUAGAAGGGGCAGGGGAUCAAUAACCAAAACCCUUUAUUGUUGAUUUUGGCUUUGGCCAACACCCACAAGCCAUUACCAGGUCUGCACUUGAACCUAAAAAUCCAGCAUUAACCCAAAUGAGAAAACAGCCAAGAUAACAACAGCUAGAGAGAGAGGAUUGGCAGCAAACGAAGACAAUGACAAUAACGUGAUUUGUAGAAUCCUCACCAGGAAGAUAUGCAUAGAAUUGUUCUUGAAUGGACACAUUAAACUAGAGGAAUCAGUCACAAAAGUUCUUACUAAUGUACAUACAAUGGAUACAAUUAAUACUUCUAGCAUACAAACACCUCUUUGAAGAUAGUUAUAACCAUGAUUCCCUGUAUAAGGCAGAUGGUAGUUCAAAAGAAAAGCAGCAAACCAGAACACAUAUUCUCUUUUGGUUACACUUACACUCAAGUAAAUGAUAAUUAUUCCAAAUCAAUCAGACCAACCAGCCGUGAGUUACAUAAUAAAAGACAGUUGUCAUUCUACUCCAAUUAUGGUCAUCAUUGGCAAAUGAAAAUCCUCUCAAACAGUUACACAGGCUCAUAAUCAGCAUGAAUGGAGUAAUUAUUUGAGUAAUUUCGGAGGGGGCAAUCAGUGAGACUAAGUAUACCAGCCAAGAAUUUCAAAAGGGCAGUAAGGCAUCCAGGAGUUAUUCAGUUAUGCUUUCCUCAUGAAUGGCAAUAUCAGUGAGUAAAAAGGGAUAAACCAGAGCAAUUAAACAGAGGCAAAUAUUAUGCUUUCAGUUACACAAUCAGCCUAAAUGGCAACUUUAAUGCAUUGAUUCAGAAAACCAAUAAGUCAUGGCAUGUUACACAUUGUUGGUAAGUCAAAAAGUUUUCACAAACCAGCCAAUAACCUACAACCAUCUAUAAAAGGCAUGUCUCAAUUGGUGCACAAGGGAGCAGGAGAAAAAGUAAGCAGAGAAAAAGCAUACUGAUAUCACCCAUAUACACUUAACAAAGCAGAGAGCAUAAUCCAUACACAUAUAUCCAACAAGCAAUCAUAGAUAUUGCCUGCAUACCUACAAAUAUAGCAAAGGGAUACACACAGAUACAGAACAUCAAAGUAUACAUAGUUCUCAGCAGGGUAAAAAGGGGCUCCGUGUCAGACAAUUACAAAGUAAAGGUCCAAAGGAUAAAGGAAUAGACCUUCAUACAAUCAUCCUACUACAUCCCAGUGUCAGCAAUCUUAAAUAGGUACUAUAUUACCCUUCUCAAAUGUUAUUCUGAAAUGCUAAAUGAUUUAUAAUCGUAGGAAGUGAGUCAUUAUCAUAACACAUAAUGCUUUUAAAAAAUUGUUUAAUCUUAACCCUGUAAUUCAUGGUUUGUAAAUCCUUAUGUACGUUGUUUUGUUUUCCAAUGCUAUUCAUGGCAUAAACAUUAGGAACAUGUGUUACUCAUUAACAUGGGUAAGCCUGGUAUUACGAAAUAAAAAAAACAGGGACCUUUUGCAAUAUUUUCUCUUCAGCAAGAAAACACAUCAUCCAUUAACUGCACACUAAGUCCUUUUUUAUUUAAGCAAUCUGUAAUAUGAAAGGUAAAACACGACAACAUAAAAUAAGUAGAUCAAACACAACAACACGCUGUUAAGAACUUUGAGUUCAAUUCACAAAUCAGUAUAAACAGUAAAUAGAAAAAAAAAAAAACAUCUUGCAUUCAAGGGAUAUGGUACUUUACCUGUCCUUGGUGUUGCCGUGGUCGCGGUGGUAUACCACCGAGGAUGAUAAAGGAUGGUGGCCCCGAGGCUUCGCCAUCAUCGUGUCUCCCUAACCAUCCCAGUUCCAACCGUGGAUGAACCCUCUUCGUCGCCUUCCUAAGUCGCCGUUGCUGGAGAAGAACCCGCCACCGAGAGAAGAAAAACGCGUGAAGAGGAGAUGGUGCAGCGUCUCACCACCAUCGGCCCCGUCUCACCACCACCGCGGACCACUGCGAGCCGCCCCAAUGCUUCGAGCCGCCAUGAAUGGGGACCCCCGAGCCACCGUCACCACCACCGGAGAUGGAGCUAGAAAGGAAAUGGAGUUGGGGAUUAGGGAUUUCAAUUUUUUCCCUUAUCCUGCGUGAACAUGGGGUUAAGGGGAUAACACCCCUCAAUUACCCCUUUUGGUUUUACACGAGGC